rnacentral:ribozyme from 1 species
UGUAUUCCUUCUUUUUUCCUCUCCUUAUUUUCCAUCUCUUUCUGUCUCUUUCUCUCCCUAGUUCCAGGAUUUAUCAAAACACAAUCCACGGGAAGGAAAC